GGGGCCGUGGCCUAGCCUGGUUUAGGGCGUCUCCCUGUCACGGAGAAGAUCGCGAGUCCAAAUCUCGUCGGCCCCG
rnacentral:tRNA from 2 species